GCAUUGGUUGUUCAGUGGUAGAAUACUCGCUUCCCAAGCGAGUGGCCCGGGUUCGAUUCCCGGCCAAUGCA